rfam:Trichobilharzia regenti genome assembly, scaffold: TRE_scaffold0063265
GUACUGAUGAAAAGUCCAAAACUAGGACGAAACAGCUGUCCAGUAC